GGUGAUGUAGCUCAGUGGUAGAGUGCUUGCCUAACAAGUAUGCGGCUGUGGGUUUAGUCUCCAGUACCA
rnacentral:tRNA from 1 species